UGCGGAGGCCCGAGACGCGGCGGCGCUGGACGCAGCGGAGGGGACGACGCGGCGCCCACCGGUCUGGGGCGCGAGGCCCGCGGCGGCCAAGGGGGAAAGCGGCCCGGGGCAGCCUCGGAGCGAGUCCCCGGAGCGCCGAGCGGCCGCCGGAGCCGCAAAAGGAGCUGCUGGGCCCCGCCUCUGAGAUGAUGGGACUGGGAAACGGGCGUCGGAGCAUGAAGGCGCCCCCGGUCGUGCUGGCCGCACUGGUGGCUUGCAUCAUCGUCCUGGGCUUCAACUACUGGAUUGCGAGCUCCCGGAGCGUGGACCUCCAGAUGCGGAUCAUGGAGCUGGAAGGCAGUGUCCGCAGGGCGGCCGUGGAGCGAGGUGCUGUGGAGCUGAAAAAGAACGAGUUCCAGGGAGAACUGGAAAAGCAGCGAGAGCAGCUGGACAAGAUCCAGUCCAGCCACAGCUUUCAGCUGGAGAGUGUCAACAAGUUAUACCAGGAUGAAAAGGCGGUUUUAGUGAAUAACAUCACCACAGGCGAGAAACUCAUCAGGACUCUGCAAGACCAGUUAAAGUCCCUGCAGAAGAAUUACGGCAAGCUGCAGCAUGAAGUCCUCCAGUUUCAGAAGAACCAGACCAAUCUGGAGAGGAAGUUCUCCUACGACCUGAACCAGUGCAUCAAUCAGAUGAAGGAGGUGAAGGAACAGUGUGAAGAACGAAUAGAAGAAGUCACCAAAAAGGGAAAUGAAGCUGCAGCUUCCAGAGAGCUGAAUGAAAAAAAAGACCCAAGUCAGCAGCUCCAGGUCCUCAGUGAGCCUCAGCCCAGGGCACAGGCAGAGGCGCCAGAAGGGAAAGAAAACCUGCCCAGCAACGUCGAGCUCCAGACACGCGUCCCCAGUUCUGAGACGGCUUUGGAUUUGAAGAGACAAGAGGAGACCAACGAGAUCCAGGUGGUCAGCGAGGAGGAGCUUCGGAGGGACAGCCUGGGACUGCCGCAGCAGCCAGGCCAGGAGCUGGCCGUGGAAAAAGACAAACUUGCGGAGGAAAGAGGUGUUGGGGAAGCCCAAGAACUUGGCCAAACCUCUCAGGCACCAGCCGCCCUGUUGGCAAGCCAGGAAAACCAGGAGACCGAGGGACCCAAGCGGGACCAGCUUGUCGUCGUCGAGGCCCGGGAGGAGCAGGAUGCAGAUGAGGAAGGGAGAAACCAGCAAAAAUUAGGAGAUGACGACUACAACAUGGAUGAAAAUGAGGCGGAAUCUGAAACAGACAAGCAGGCAGCCCUGGCAGGGAGUGACAAAAACCUAAAUGUUCUUAAUGCUGAAGAUCAGAAAAGAGAUACCAUAAAUUUACUUGAUCAGCGUGAAAAGCGGAAUCACACACUCUGAAUCACAUACUUCACAUCAAGAUUGAAGAGAGAUUACUACAAAAUAUUCACAUGGAAUUGAGUACUGGAAAGUACUAAGUAAAAAUAUACAUCUAAGGAUGAGUAUUGUGGAGUUAGUAUGUUCUUUAUGUAGAAAAAAUGGGAUUGCCUUUUAGACACUUUUGAAAUGUGUAUGGUAAGAUGUCAAAACGUCAAUUUUUUGGCUAUAGAACACAAGUUCUACUUCAAGUAUGGCAAGAGUGCCUCUUGUUUAUUCUGGAAUAUAGCUUUAUUUAAAAAAAAAAAAAAAAAAGCCUGUAGGAAGGUCUGACUGCUGAUGUUAAGGAGACCCCACCCCUCUUAGAGAGCCCUUUGUUUCUCCUUCUCCCCUGGUGUCACCCUUUUCUCCACGUGCCAGGUUAAGUGACCCCUACCCACCCAUUAUUUUCUCACUGGGCAAGACUGGAUGAUUACUGGUUUAUGCUUUUGUGCACUCACUUCUGAUUCUGACCAUCAUUGGCCUAGAGCACUGACUGUUAGAACCACCAUGGCUACCAAUGGUUUUAAACAGGUCUGAAUACAAAGCUGUUUUGUAGUACUUGUAUAAAAUAACGCUUGACAUCCUUAAUGUACAAAAAAACAUUUAAGUGACUUGUAAUUGAACUUUUGUGGUCUGUACUUACUGUGCUUAAUGUAUGUGGGUAAAGCAAAAUUUUCUGUAAAAAGUACAUGUUAGAAAAAAAGGGAAUUAGGCUUUCAACACGAAAGGGGCCAAAGUGGAGGUGGCACUAUGCCUCGUGUACAGAACAGUGAGGGAAGACAGCCUCUUGAGGAUGGGUUUGUUGUGGACAUGUUUAUGUGGACAAAUCUGUGCCUACUUUAUUACUAAAGUAAAAGAAAUUUAAUUUACAUUGACACUGAAGGAUAUAUAUAUAUACACACAUAUAUAUAAAUAUACAGUAUUUGAAGUUGGAAAAGUUUAGAAAGGCAAGAAAAAAUGCAGUUGUUUUGGUCAUAAUUUAUAUCUGUUAAGUGCUUGUGUUAAAAUGACUAUCACAAAAUGAUUUAAAAGUCAGAGGUUACUAUUGAUUUUGAGAAUGGCUUUAUCAUUAGCCACAUUGGUUAAGAGUGACGUUCGGUUUGACUUCAUUCGGUUCUUAAUACUUAAUAUUGAAGGUGAAGGAGGCUUUUCCCACCUGUGAAUACUGUCAAAGUAAAAUGACUGACUGACUUUCAGUGAUGAUCUCCAAAGAGUAAUGGGUAGUGAUGCCCACUAAGAUGCAUUUAGAUUCAGAGGUUGAGAAGCAGGGGCUUCUGUGGUCAUUUGGUAUAACACCCUCAUUUUUCAUGAGAGGUUCUACGGCUUAUCAAGGUCAGAUUGCAGCAAGCUCACCCCCACGUGUCAACUCAUGUGUUCCUGGCAGUUGAAGACAGGAGGGCAUCAAACUCCAGUGUUCUUCAUGUUUGAUCUUUUUACCCAUCACUAACAGUUAACCAUCUCCACCCAGAAAUGGCAACUGAUUCAGGGUUAUAAAGGUAGCUUUAUAACAUGGUUGAUAGGAAUUCUCUCUUGCUUUUCUCAAAUAAUGAAGCUUCUAUUCAUCUCUUGUUCAAUUACAUAGAGUUAAGAAAUAAAAUACUCCUAUUUGUUAGUUCAGUUUCUAAAACUUUUCAUAAUUUCAUCCCGCAGGGAUCCCUAAAAAAUCAGCUUUGAAUUGUGGAUUAAGGCUGGUGGUUUGCCUUAGACCCUUUGUGGAAUGAGAUGGAUGACAAGAAAUAAAAAAAUAACUGUGAUAAAUUCUUCAUGUACAGGGCCAUUCCUUCAGGAGGAUGUGUACCUUGAAUUAUUUCUCCAGGCAGUGUUUUACUGCUGGUUUUCCUUGUGAUCACAGGGUGGCUCAUUGGUACAAGGACGUAUUACAUCUUUUAAAAACCCACAUCCAUUGAGUAAACUGGUAUUAUCAUGCUGACAUUAUGCAGUGUGGGGUCCAAGAUGGAGUUCCAGUUCUCAAAUUUACAGUACAGUGGGAAAGAUAAAGACAACUGCCUAUUUAAAUUACAAGUAUGUUAAGUACUUUCAAGGUUUCAAGGCCUAGACUGGGAGAGGUAGGGGCCUUCCCUCGGUAUGUGACAUUUCAGCUGAAGCUUUUGGAGAAUGAGUAGAAACUGGGCGGAAGUUUGAGAAGAAAAGGACGAGAGGGCAGAAAUGAAGUGGGAAAGGCAGUUGGUGCCAAAUCGGUGUGGGUGCUGGUGUAAAGACUGUCAUUAACCUGAGAACAGUGGGUUUUAAGUAAAGUUGCGGAGAUCAGGCUUGCAUUUUAUGAUCUUUUAUACCAGCUCCUUCAAGCAUCGAGUGGGGCAAGUAGAAUGUGGGGAAAUUAAUCCUCCUCUUCUUCACCACUCACUAGACCUCAGCUUACUUUCUAGCUUCUGCCCCACCAUUUCAAGAAAGCUCUUUCACUGUCACCAGCAACCUUUACUUACCAAAUGGCAUGGGUUGGUUUCAGUCCUUCUCUUCCUUGGCCCUUUAGCUGCAUGUGGCCCUACAUUCUGCUUAUUUUCCUUGUACGUAUCCUUUGCAGGCUUUCUGCAGUGUCCAGCCAGAGGAGAACAAGGGCAGCAAUUGCUCCUCCUAAGCUUUUCCAAACAGAAAAAGCUUACCAGUAUUUAAGGUAAUACAUUGUCACAGCCACUUUAAGGGGGAUAAAAAGGCAAUCUUGUGAAAGACAAACAAUGAAAGAGACACAAAAGCAUGGCGAGGCAUGAUUUUUAGGUGCUCACAUCCCUAAUAGCCUGUCCUAUCACCUAUUGGCUCCCCAUUCCACUGGCUCACUUGUAGAACUUGACUAUCCCACGUCUGUUCCUCAGCACCUAUUUUAGGCCCUUUUCUUAGUCUGCACUCUCCCUGAGCAAUUGCAUACCUGGACACAGCCAGUCCACAAGUUUAUUUCCACCCAAGAUUGCACCUUGCAGGUCCAGACCAAACCAACUACUUGACAACACCACCAGGAUGUCCCAAAGGCGUUUUUCGGCUCCAAGACAAUUUUAUCCCCAAAUUCAUUCUCCAAUAUUGUAUAUAUAAGCAAAUGGCACCACCAUCCAUCUAGUUUCUAAAGCCAAAACCCCAUGAAUCACCUUUGCACAGAAGUCAAUCUCUCACCCCUAAUCCAAUCAUUUACCAACUCCUGUUGACUGUACCUCUAAAUCCUUUGAUCCCAUCCACCAUCCACUUUUCUCCACUCCCUCUGCCACUAUCUUAGUUAAGACAACCAUUUUCUCCUCCUCUCUAAACCAUUCUUGGUUGGCAGAUCUGAUUCUGUCAUUUCCCUGCAUGAAACCCAUUAGUGGUGUCUACCAAUACCAGAAUAAGGUCCAAAUUCUUGAAGCUGGCUUUCCAGUUUCCUUAAGAUCUGGUCUCUCCAGUCCCUUUUCCUAUUCUAUACUCCACCCUCUUGCUUCACUUCACUCUCCAGGCCUUUGCACAUCCUAUUCCCCCUUCUAGGACCCCUUUACCAGCUAAUGCCUCUGACUUUUGUGGCUCAGGUUAGAUGUUCCUUUCUCUGGAAAACUUUAAGUUUAUGUAAUUCUCGUCUACCAGCAUACUGUAUUUUCCUCACUGCAUUAUAAAUUCUUGUUUUCUUUUCUGCGUUCUUCAUUAGGUUAUAAGUUCUGUGUGGUGAGAGACUAUCCUGUUUUCCUAAAAAGGUAACAUUCUACUUUUCUGACUAGAAACUUGCUGUUAAAAAAAAUGCUAAAGCUACUUAAAAGGAAAAUGCAUGUGAUUCUGUAAACACUAAUAAAUCUUUUGCUUUUCAGUUGACAAUGGGUUAACAAUAGGAAUGUUCUUAAGAAGACCCACGCCUUCAAAGUAGCGCAGGUCGUUCUGUAAUUUAGCCAGAUUCACUGCUCAAUAACAUUCAUUCACACUAGCUGACCCAAUUAGAUAUAACUUGUUAAAAAGAAAUGCCAGAGUACCCUCUUAAUUGAAAGCAAUCCUGUCAUUUAGUAGGGCCCUUUUUUACUGAUCCAUAUUCUUCUUGCUUUCAAGGGGGUAUAUAUUUUUUUCACUUCAAUAUAUUUGCCCUUGCGAAAGAAGAGAGGUUUCCCAGCUUUCUUUUAACUUACCUCAGGCUCUCUUCUUGUUUGCCAAAUAUUACUGCAGUUUCCAUUUUUCUCUUUGCUUUUCCCUUUUUCUUCUUCCUCCUAUUUCUUACCAUUUCUUUGCCUUUGUUUAAAGCUUUCAAAACUGCUAAACUAAAUCCAGAAACAGUGCUUUUUCCCUUCUCAGUAAAUCAACCACAUAGAUCACAACAGGUAUAUUCUUUCUCUCAUCAUAGCUCAAGUUUCUUACUGCACAAUAUACUUUUUUUUUAAAUUAAGACUUCUGGGUUCUGAAAUUUCAGGAAGUCUAAUGGUUGUUCCUGGAUAACACAGGUGUUACCACUCUUGGAAAAGAGAGCCAGACUACUUCAUUAGCUGACAGAGGAGAUAGGAAAGUUCUUCCUCUACAGUCUGCUCUACUAUGGCAGACAAGGUGUCAGAUUAGCUGCUUUAAAAGUUUCAGUACCAUGUUUGCACGGAAGGUGUCAAAUCAGAGUUAUGAUAUUUGGAACUCAGAACCCUUUUUUACCGUAGAACAAAUAUAAAACUGUUGCUGGUCUCAGACCAAGCCACAAAAGCAAAAUUAAGCCACGGUUUAGCACACAGUCCUAAUAGGAUGGUACCCUCCUGAGGACAAAAGGUAAGGCCCCAGGAGGCAUGGAAGGCUGUCAUGGCCACGCACGAGAGCACAGCAGAGCAGAGGCAGGAAGAGGCAUCAGCAGUACAGUGAGGGUGGGGCAUCUGGUGCUGGGCACCUGCAGGAACUGGUGGAUUAAAAUCAGUUUUUAAUAGCCAGAACAUAUUCACAGAGACAGAUGCCUUAUUUGAAAAUUUUCCAAGUGGUUAAACAGAAUAUGAAGUAAACAAAAAGGAGCAUGCCACCUUUAAACCUAGACCUCAAAAUUAACAAUCUAUACAUUCUUACCUUUUGUAUAAAUAAGGUUGCUAGCAAAUGGAAUUUGUAAUCUUUUAAAAGCACCAAAAGUAACAGUUAAAACAGAUGUUUUAAAAAACAUCUAUACUCUUAACAAUUUAUGAAAUGACACAUAAAAUCACAAUCCCCAUGGAAUCUACUCUCCCUUUAUAGGUUAGGGGCCCCCCUAACUCCCUUUUAAAUGUAUUUAUGAAAAUCCCAUACAUAGUAAGUCCCUUGAUCUGAAAUUUCUUUUGGGUAACUUGUUUUUGAACUACUCAAAGGUUAAAGAGUAAACACCUUCAGUUGUUAACAUUAUCAACAAAGUGCUAUUGUUUUUCAUCUCCAACAGUGCAUUUUUUGUCAAGAAAUUUAUUAACCUUUACAAACACUAUUUUCAAUCAUUCAUAAAAAAUGAUUUAUGAUUAAAUCUGUAAUAAAACCAUAUAACAUUCAUCAUUGCUUUCAGUAAGACCAGUUUCAUCCAUGGAAAAUAAACCACUUUAAAACAGCAGUUUCAGUCACGUCAUAUAAGGCUGCCAAACUAAAAGUAUUCCUUAUAAUGGGUUGUUACCCAAGAAAUCCAUUUCACUUCAUGUUAUGUGGUAAGACUGAUGGACAUAUGCUCUAAGUGUGGAAUCUGAAAUUAGAUUCUACACCCCUUUGUAGUCAGCUUCUCAGUCCUUCUCAAACAAGUUUCACAACAGGAAAAUACUUGUGAGCAGAGAAAUCAAAUUCAGGAGGAACCUAUAAAGAAAACAAAAAAGUCAGUUAAUGGAUCUGCAAAUAUUCAUACAGUAAAUAAACACUUAUUUUAGUUUUGUGUGUUUUUAGAAAAGAGAUUUUAAAAAAAAAUCAAUUUGAUGACAAAAAGGAAGUAACCUGGAAGAAAAAAAAGAUUUAUCACUGGGUUUAUGAAGGUUAUUAGAAUAUGCUGGCCAGUUGUUUUCUAUUUUCACAGAACAUUUAACAAGGGAAAACAGACUUAAAUUACUGUAAAGGAGUUCAUUAGCUCAUGGGUCAGCAACUCUAGUUCCAGGGUCACUGAUCAUACUAAGCAAUGCCAAUGAGUCACUGUUAAAACCAGGCAGGAAAGAAGGAAGGAAGACAAUGGAAAAACAGCAGGAGGUAAAGCAGAAAGCAAGGAAAAGAGAGAAACAGAGGUACACAUAAUGGGCAGCUGCCACCAGAAGUGCCCAGCUACUCGGCAGCACCACUGCACUGGUGGCAGGCCUUUUUACACAGUGAGUCUCGUUUAAAACACUGUUCUACAUUACCCAGGGAAGCUUAUAAGAUCUUCCCUUCCUGAGCCAUUAACCAGUCUCUACAUGGUGAAAUAUUCACCUUCCCAAAGGCAGACGGCUUUUUAAAUACAUCUCCUGGAAAUCUGUUUCCAUACAUCUUUCCCCCUAAAUCAUUCAGUUUUUUACAUGAGGAAAAAGAAAAGGACAGAUUUUUUAAGUCAAAAUCUUAAGUUUCAAGGCAAAAAUGGCAAACUCCAGUUUAGUUAAUUUUUGCCACCGAACCUUUUUAAGGAUGUUUUCGAGUGUUAACAUUUUUUUAAAUAACAUUUAUGCAGCUUAUUGGAAAAACUGAAAAUUUUCAUUCAUUUCCCCCAAAAUGUACUUACCUUAGAUUCCUUUUUGUGUCCUCCUGCCAGUAACUUCAUAACCACAAAGUUGGGUUUGGCAACCUUUAAAAUUCUAUUGACCUAAACAAUGAGCAAUAUUAAGCUAUCAAAACAGAGCCAAAAUGUCUAUUACAGAUAUUAAUUGGAAUAUGGCAUAAGUAUUGUUCUUUUAUGAAGUAAAGAUAAUUUAAAAAUAUGAACAAAUUUUCCUUUAGUAAUAACAGAACUGUAUUUUUGUCACUCUGAAAAUUGAAAAUAUAAAUAGGUAUGAGAGCUUAUAAAAACGAACUGUAAAACUACAAAUCAAUAGAUUUGCUAUGAAUAACAAUAUAAAAAUUUGUUGAAUUUGAUGUACAAAUUUCCAAAUUUGUACUCCUCGAUGAAGGGCUACUGUGUCUCGCUUUCAUUAAAACAGAACAUGAGGCUGGCUUCUAGGGUUCUACAAAGGCCUAGAGUGUUGUAUAAGAGUAUGGACUGUGAGGUUAGUAGACUGUGUGUUUUCAAAUUCCAGUCUUGCCACCACUCACUAGCUAUGAAACCUGUGGCAAGUUACUUAACUUUUUUGUUCCUCAGUUUCUUCAUCUGUAAAAUGGGGAUAAUAAUUUUACCUACCCCGCAAAGAGUUGUUGUGAGGAUGGAAUGAAUUAAUAUAUAGAAAGAGCUCAGAACCGCACCUGGCAGGCAGGGUCCUUCAGGUGUUAACUGCUGUCAGUAUUCCCGACUACCACUUGUCAAAGAGACCUCAGUUGAACACAUGAAUAAUGAUAGAAUGGAAUACUGUGUUUCUUGUGAGAGAAAAUAAUGUACAACUUGAAGAAAAAAGCUCAUACUGCUGCCUUCUUGGCUUCUUUCUAGAAAUAUAUACAACAGCACAAGUUCAGGAACCUCUCCUCACAUAUCCAACUGCCUACAUGAUAUCUCCAUUUGGACAUCUAAUAGGCAUCUCAAAUUUAACACAUCCAGAAGUGAGCUCCUGCUUCACCCAGUCUUCCCUACCCAGUUGCUCAAGUCAAAACCUGGAAGUCAUCCUUGAAUCCUCUCUUUACUCUCUCAGCCCACAUCCCAUCCAUCAAUCUUGUUGGUUUAAAAUACAUGGAGAAUGCAAUGACUUCAGAUUACCUCCACUGUAAAUACUGCCUCUCACCUGGAUUACUGCUAUGGUAUACUAAGCAGCUCCCCUGCUUCCACCCCCUCUCCCCCACAGAUCUAUUUUCAGCACAGUAGCCUGAGUAAUCCUUUAAAACAUAAAUCAGAUCCAGCCCUCUACUCAAAUACUCCAACCACCACCCCCUUUGCUCAAAGGAAAAGCCUGGUGUGAUAUGGCCAUCCAGUUACCACACUAACCAUACAUAUCUCCUACUUGCUUACUCCACACGCCAGCCACAGCAGACCCUGGCUGUUCACGGAUUUGGUCAAAGGUCACCUUAUUUUAAAAAUGUCUAAAGCCCUUCUGCCUCCACACUUCCUGUGGUAUCCCCUAUCCCCAGCUUUAUUUUUCUUCAUGGUAUGUAUGACCUUUUAAUAUAGUACAUAAUUUAAUUAUCUGUUUAUUGUCUAUAACCUAUUACCCCACCCCACCCCCACCCCCACAUCAAGGCAGGGAUGUCUGUAUUUUUGUUUUUUUUCCCUACUGUAUCCUCAGAAUCUGCCAUAAUGCUGGGGACAUAGUAGGCACUUAAUAAAUAUUUGUUGAACAAAUGAAUAAGGUUUCCACUAAAUUAAAUAUGCUGUGUUUAUUUUUAUAGGUGCACACCCUUUUCUUUUAUGGUAAAAGUAUAUAUGAUAAAAGGUCUUUCUCCUAUCACCGUUCUCCAGUGCACCCAGCUUCCUUCCCAAAAAGCAAUGUUAACAGUUCUGUAUCCUUCCAGCAAUAUUUUAUACUCAUAUGUAAGAAACACUCAAUAACAUACACUCUUCCUUGAUUAAAAUGGCAGCAUACUACAUCGACUGUUCUGUACCUUGCUGUUUUAGCUUCUUACAUCCUAAAGAUCAUUCCAUUGCAAAAUAGAAUGAUUUUUUUUUUAAGCCUGUAUGGUAUUCCACUGUAUGGAUGCAUCAACUUAUGCAACAGUGCCCUGUGGAUAGACAUGAAGGCCCCCUCCAGAAUUUUUUGCUAUUAAACACACUAUGGCAAUGAAUAAUACCUUUUACACUCUCACUUCCCUCUCUUUCCACAUGUGCACACAGAUCUGUAAGACAAAUCCCAAGAAGCAGAAUUGCCGGGCAUAAGCAUUUGUGAUUCUUAACAGCUAUCACUAAAUUAUCCCUCCAUGAAAACUGUACCAAGAUAUACGCCAAGUACUGUAUACAUAUUUUACAGGUAACAUAUUUAGAGAAUAAAUGUAUUUUAAUAAAUUGGGUAUACAGAAAAUCAUGCAAAUACCAAAAGCUUGAAACUAUAUUUAGAUCUUGCAAAGUCUAAGGUCUGUUACCAGAACAAUUUCUUCAAAAGCAAUAUCCUUUACUUUAAAAGGCCAGGUGGAAUAAGGUUUUUACUUCCUGUGGUAACUGGCCAGAUCAUUUUUCAGACUGGGUUUAUAUAAAUAUAUUUUUGAAAUAUAUAUAAACUACAGAGUAAAGUAAAAAUUUAAAAAAUAUUAACAGUUUGAGCUGUAGAUCAGACUAUAUCUUAUUUCUAUCCUUCCUACUUACUUUAUGAUCCUGAGUCUUAUUUAUUCUCUUGCCUCACGGAUUUUGGUGAAAAUAUUAUCCACUUGAUCUGCUAUGGGAGUUCAACUUUCCAGGAACCCCACACUUUGAAGUAGCUGUCACAGCUGACCACUCUAAGUACAAAGAUGAUUCAUCCGCACGUGAGCGUGCAGUAAUGGCUCCAGUACCUUAAUUCCUCUUUGCAGUGAUUUCUAAAUUUACACAAAAGAGGUACUUACAGAACCUCUUUCAUAAAAAUAAUUUUAAGUCUGACAGGUUAGGUUGGCAAAGCUAUUUGAAAUCCUUGGUAGAAACAUGACAGGCUCCAUUUAUUAAUACUAUUCUUUAAAGUUCAUUUUUAUAAUUAAAUUUUGACCCAGAAGUAUAAUAUAUAUUUCCUGACAAAUUUUUUUCCAUAAAUUAUUGUGAAUCCAGUCUCACCUCAUGGUCCGGGUUUGGGAUAUUUUCCAAUAUCAUUUUUGCCUGCUGAAAGUGCUUACUAGCUGCCACAUACAGUUCUGGAGAUUGAGGAGGAGGGCUAUAUUUAUUGAGGUCAGACAUUUCCUAAAAAGGAGGAGGAAAUAGUACUCAAAAUAUGUUUAAGGAAAAAGUUUGAAACAGCUUUUUAAAACUAUCAAACAAAUCUAUACUAUCAGUAGAUACAAUACUGAAGGGAAUACCCAGCAGAUCUUCCUAUUUUUUUCGUAUUAAUAUUCACUUCUCAGCUCUCAUAUACUAAGUUCAUAGUAUCCUUUAUCUUAAAUACUGUCACUGUAUCUAAGGCAUAAGUGUAUGUUAAAAUGUGCUAAGACCCAACAUAUCCAGAUAAUUUUCAUACCAUUUUUAUUACCUUGUCACACUGCUCCAAUAAUUUCAUUUGCUUAUUUUUAAAUGUCUAGGUAGAAACAGUACAUCUAUAAGAAGGUCUAAUAUUAAAUAUUCUUUGAUCAUUUCAAUGAACAGGUUCACCUUAAACUGUAGAUAGUGCACUGGUGGAGGUGUCAUUACACUGUUGAAAGGAGCAAACCUGUGUUCAUAACGAACUUGUUCACUGUCAAGCUCAAACUUGGGUUUUCGUACUUUGCCAUCCAUGUCAAAUGCUACCAUGGUCUAAAGGAAGAAAGGAAUGAGAAAAAAUGACAUCAAGAUGAAAAACUGAAUAUUUCAUUAUAAUACAGCAGACAAGUAGAAAUAGCUAUUUACAUAUAGCUAAAGACAACCCAUGACUCAGAUCAGACAGGAAGACAAAACUGGCUUCUUAGCAUUCAUUUUUAUUUUAAGUGCCAUCUCUUAUACAAAAAUUUUACAAGUUCCAGUGUUUCAAUAUUUUCUCCCAGAAAAAUUAACUAUAUUACAAUGCACAUUAUUUUUCCAUGCCUCAUGCUUUUACAAUAGCUUUGAAACCUUCAAAUAAUAGUUUCUGUAAAAACAAGUAACAUGUAACAACAAAAAAAACACCCAAUUAAAAAAUGGGAAAAAGACUUCAAUAGACAUUUCUCCAAAGAA